AACCACUGAGCAUUCACAUGCUCUGGGUGUCCUUCAAAGAGUUGGAGCAGAGUUUUUUCAUGCAGAAAUAUCCAGUUCCCACAGGCACCAGUGACAACGGGCAAAGCUCUGCUGCUUGGGUGCUCCUGUUCCUGGAGCCACUCUGGAAAAGAGAAUUUGCAGAGAGCCAAGGAACCAGACCCAGGAGCUGGGGAGAGCCAGGAAUAAUCCUCCUUUUGUAAGAUGUAUUGAUGGGAGUCUUGCUACUGACCUAUUCCAUCAAUCUGUAUUGCAGAGAAGAAGAAAUUGUUAUGUGCUUUAAAGAAGCCUGCAUAUAGAACCAAGAUCUAUGUACAUAUAUAAUGUACACAUGCUGCCUUUUCAUCCACUUGGAAAGAUUAGUGCCUUUUUACCGAAGGAAAUAAAGGGUUAGGCAUGAUCUGUC